CGCCAGUUGAGCUCCCUCAUCUGAGUACGGCUUGCUCCAAAUCCCUGGGGCGGUGGAGUGGAUAGCGCUGUGUGCAGGGAUGCCAUCCCAACCGGGGCUCUCAGGGAUCCAGCCGGGGUGAGGGAAAAAGAGGCCCACUACUCGGCCGGUGCGGGCUCUCGGAGGCAGGCCCUCCUUUGCAGUGGUGGGCCUGGGAAAGCCUGGCUCUGAGGGCCUGCACUGGCUGAGCAUCGGGCACAUGGCUUGGCCAUGUGCUCUGUCGCCAUGGUAACCCCUCCCUGACCCUCUUUCUCUUUCCACGUGGAUCUUCCCUGCAAGAGUUUUCACCUCUUAUCCCCUCAAGCCCAGGCCAAGCUUACCUGGCACCUUCCGCAGCCUGCACUGCCUGCGCCGCUUGAUGUGACUGAACAAAAACCCUCCUCAGAGCCACAGCAGUGGCUUUUCUUUGUGCCUGGUCCAGCCUUUGAGGCCGGUGGAGGCCCUCACUCCCUUUCCUCAGCUCCCCUUCCCUCGCUAUGCCUGGACGACGCACCCCCUCCUUUUCCGCUCCCUCAUCCGGGGCUUUGGCCACUCCCCCCAAACUGAGGCAGUGGCCUGGCCUGGUGGAGCCCUUUUUGCCGCACUAGUGGCGACCACCAUAUUCCGUGAUGCAACAGGAGGGCGCGGCUUUGAGCAAUACGGUACAUUAAAAGAGGAACAAAAGAAGAACCCUGCUGGAUCACAACAAACGCAUAUUUAGUCCAACAUCCAGUUCUCAGAGAAGCCAGCCAGGUGCCCAUAGGAUGACCAGAAGAACAACACAAGUUUGCAGGAAAGUAGAUAUGAAGACAUCACAGCAUUGCCUGCCCAUAACAAUGCCACCUCAUAUCCCAAAUUGCUACACCCACUCAUCCUGUUUAUUCUACUGAAGAUUUAUUAUGUAUAGAAAAAUGUGCAAGAGGGAGAAAAGGUUAAUAUGGUAAUACACACGGCUCUUGUGGUUUUUUAGUCAGCAGCAGCUGGUGGUGUACAAAGCAACAAGAAGGGCAACCUGCAUUGGAUUACAAUCCAAAUGUUAAAAGUGUGAUUCAAAGUACUAAAUCUAUCAACAUCUUGGGUAAUUCCUUUAACAUUCAGAUUAAAAUCUGGAGCAGCUACCGGCCACUGAAUUUAAUUGGGGGUCAAAAUGUAAAUCUUUGCAAAUGUGAAUACAUCGUGAAAAUGUUAAGAGUGGUAUGUACAGUAAAAAGUCAUUGUGUGAGUAUAAAAAAGACUUAUAUGCAUCAAUUUUUUAGCUUACGAAGUUUUUUGUGCCUCGUUAUUACAGAGCCCAGUUAUGCACAAAAUGUUUCCUUUUGCUCUAAAUACACCCUGCUUUAAAUGGUACUCCUUCUUAGUGGACAGUUUUCAAUGUUUUUGUCCUCUGAACCUGAAUCAGAUUAAUAAAAAACUGAGAAAAAACUUGAA